UAAAAACCCUGGAAAAAAGUCACAAAGUAUUAUUGAAGGAAGUUAAAAGGUAAUUACAAAAAGCAGAAAUAAAAAUCUAAGAACCUCAAGUAUAAGAUUUUCAUCAGAGCACCAAGAGGAGACCACAGGACUAGGCAGUCUCAGGAAUGCAUCCACUGUCUGUAUAGGAACUCCAUACUGCCAAAUAAAACAACAUAUUCAAGUGUACAGUUUGUAGCAUGAAUGCAGAAAAUACUGGGAUUGACUUGGUCGAUUAAUUUAAAUACCCUUUCUGGUGGAUUUGCUUCAACAUCGAGUGAAUAUAUGGCAGCUUUCUGACUACACAGACGGCUGUCACCUCUGCAAGCAAUAAUAAUAAAAUCAGUGACCUACUUCAAAUAUUACUCUACUGAACUGGUUUUGAGAGCUGCUGUUCUGUAAUAAAUCCUGACUUAAGAACAACACACAGUGAAGAAAAUUAAGCCCAGUGCUC